rnacentral:rRNA from 1 species
CCUACGGUGAGCAGCAGUGAGGAAUAUUGGUCAAUGGGCUUACGCCUGAACCAGCCAAGUCGCGUGAGGGAAGACUGCCCUAUGGGUUGUAAACCUCUUUUGUCAGGGAGCAACGCCGGCUACGUGUAGCCGGACUGAGAGUACCUGAAGAAAAAGCAUCGGCUAACUACGUGCCAGCAGCCGCGGGAAUACGUAGGGGGCAAGCGUUAUCCGGAUUUACUGGGUGUAAAGGGAGCGCAGACGGCUGUGCAAGUCUGGAGUGAAAGGCGGGGGCCCAACCCCCGGACUGCUCUGGAAACUGUAAAGCUGGAGUGCAGGAGAGGUAAGCGGAAUUCCUAGUGUAGCGGUGAAAUGCGUAGAUAUUAGGAGGAACACCAGUGGCGAAGGCUGCUUACUGGACUGCAACUGACGUUGAGGCUCGAAAGCGUGGGGAGCAAACAGGAUUAGAUACCCCUGUAGUC